rnacentral:rRNA from 1 species
UACAGAGGGGGCAAGCGUUAUUCGGAAUUAUUGGGCGUAAAGGGCGCGCAGGCGGCUUUGCAAGUGACGGGUGAAAGCCCUCGGCUUAACCGAGGAACUGCCUGUCAGACUGUAAGGCUUGAGACCGGGAGAGGUGAGUGGAAUUCCCAGUGUAGCGGUGAAAUGCGUAGAUAUUGGGAGGAACACCAGUGGCGAAGGCGGCUCACUGGACCGGAACUGACGCUGAGGCGCGAAAGCGUGGGGAGCAAACAGG